rnacentral:rRNA from 1 species
AUUGAACGCUGGCGGCAUGCCUUACACAUGCAAGUCGAACGGUAACAGGUCUUCGGAUGCUGACGAGUGGCGAACGGGUGAGUAAUACAUCGGAACGUGCCCGAUCGUGGGGGAUAACGAAGCGAAAGCUUUGCUAAUACCGCAUACGAUCUACGGAUGAAAGCAGGGGACCGCAAGGCCUUGCGCGAACGGAGCGGCCGAUGGCAGUUUAGGUAGUUGGUGGGAUAAAAGCUUACCAAGCCGACGAUCUGUAGCUGGUCUGAGAGGACGACCAGCCACACGGGGACUGAGACACAGCCCAGACUCCUACGGGAGGCAGCAGUGGGGAAUUUUGGACAAUGGGCGAAAGCCUGAUCCAGCCAUGCCGCGUGCAGGAUGAAGGCCUUCGGGUUGUAAACUGCUUUUGUACGGAACGAAAAGACUCUGGUUAAUACCUGGGGUCCAUGACGGUACCGUAAGAAUAAGCACCGGCUAACUACGUGCCAGCCGCCGCCGUAACAC